GCCUGCCCAGUGACCCCUGUUCAACGGCCGCGGUAUUUUAACCGCGCAAAGGUAGCGCAAUCACUUGUCCCUUAAAUGAGGACCAGUAUGAAUGGCUAGACGAGGGCUUAACUGUCUCCUUUUCCCAACCAAUGAAAUUGAUCUUCCCGUGCAGAAGCGGGAAUACUAACAUAAGACGAGAAGACCCUGCGGAGCUUUAGACGCCAGAACAGAUCACGUCAAAUACCUCUCUCAAACAGGUAACAACAAAUGAACCCUGUUCCACGUCUUAGGUUGGGGCGACCACGGUGAACAAAAAAACCCCCGCGUGGACUGAGAGCACAUAUUCACACUCAUAAUACUGCUUCUCACAACCAUGAGCUACAGCUCUAAAUAACAGAACUUCUGACCAAAAAAAUGAUCCGGCAAUGCCGAUUAACGGACCAAGUUACCCCAGGGAUAACAGCGCAAUCCUCUUUAAGAGUCCAUAUCGAC
rnacentral:rRNA from 1 species